UGUUCAAAACAAUUGUGAUGUUUUUUUAGUACCAGACGUUUUUACUUAAGUGUGAGUCUAAUAAAAAAAAUUCAAUUUCAUAAUAUUCAUCGAAACUAUAUGCCAAAAAUUAAUUGGGCCACUUAAACAAACAGACGGACCAUUCAGGGCUUCGCCUUGCUACGAGCAGUCUUGAAUUCUAUUUCUGUGAUUAAUAUCGUUUCAUAAUUCAAGCAAACACACGAAUAAAUGAAUGAUUCUUUCGAAACAGAAACUGUAUUACGCUAUACAGCUGUAAUAACUUCAAUUUGGUCCAUUUACCAGACUUCAAGAAAUUUUUACCGGCUUGCUGCCAAAAUUGAAAACGGAAAAGCGAAAGACUUUGAUAUAUUUUACAUACCUUUGUUACUACUGUUCAUAUCUACAGCUCUGUUAGUACUUCAUUUCGCUGGUGUGAAAAGAAACUUGGCCGAAGAAGAUCAAGAUUGCUACACGGCACUGGCCAUGUUUAUCUUCUCCAUACUAGGUGGCUGCUAUUGCCAAAUUGCAAUCAACUGGCUCGAAAUAACAGUCAACGAUCGGCAACUCGCCACUUCAACCAAUCACAAAAAAGUGCUCGGUAUAUUUUUAUCCAUCAGUUUCGUCGAACUAGUAGUCUGUAUUAUGAUGAACAAGACUUCUCUCAACUCCAGUGAAAAUUCAUCAUCAGGCGAAUGUCACUUUUCCGACCUAAGCAAAUCGACAGCUGGGUUGUUCAUCAAACAACUCAUACUCAGCUCCGGCGCAGCUGUAAUUUUCCUAUUUUCAGUUCUGCUAGCCCCCAAUAAAGCUUACCAAAUGUGGAAAAACAACACGUUUCUCUUACAAACCAGAGGGAAAAUUGACAUCAUAUCAAAUUUCGGAGAUUUGAUGAGAGAGAACAUGAUUGGCUUAUGCAUCUGCAUCCUCUACAUAAUUCGUUUUCGAUUGAGAGUAGCAGGAAACGCACUGGAUGAAGGAAAAGUUUUUGACAACAAUA